rnacentral:rRNA from 2 species
UAGACCGCCUGGGGAGUACGGCCGCAAGGUUAAAACUCAAAUGAAUUGACGGGGGCCCGCACAAGCGGUGGAGCAUGUGGUUUAAUUCGAUGCAACGCGAAGAACCUUACCUGGUCUUGACAUCCACGGAAGUUUUCAGAGAUGAGAAUGUGCCUUCGGGAACCGUGAGACAGGUGCUGCAUGGCUGUCGUCAGCUCGUGUUGUGAAAUGUUGGGUUAAGUCCCGCAACGAGCGCAACCCUUAUCCUUUGUUGCCAGCGGUCCGGCCGGGAACUCAAAGGAGACUGCCAGUGAUAAACUGGAGGAAGGUGGGGAUGACGUCAAGUCAUCAUGGCCCUUACGACCAGGGCUACACACGUGCUACAAUGGCGCAUACAAAGAGAAGCGACCUCGCGAGAGCAAGCGGACCUCAUAAAGUGCGUCGUAGUCCGGAUUGGAGUCUGCAACUCGACUCCAUGAAGUCGGAAUCGCUAGUAAUCGUGGAUCAGAAUGCCACGGUGAAUACGUUCCCGGGCCUUGUACACACCGCCCGUCACACCAUGGGAGUGGGUUGCAAAAGAAGUAGGUAGCUUAACCUUCGGGAGGGCGCUUACCACUUUGUGAUUCAUGACUGGGGUGAAGUCGUAACAAGGUAACCGUAGGGGAACCUGCGGUUGGAUCACCUCCUUACCUUAAAGAA